AGAGGCUUGUUGCUGAUGAAACUAAAUAAAAUUGUAUAAAUUAAUUUAUUAUAUGGUUUUUUUUUCUCUAUUUGAUGUUCAUCAAUUGGGGUUAAGUCACUGAGAAAAUCCACUCUAUAUUUAGAUUAUAUCAAAUUGUUACUCCAAAAUCAAUGCAAUAUUGUACCUUUGUUCAAUUGAAUAUCAAACAAUUAAUGAACCAAAUAAAAUUGUAUGAAUUAAUUUAUUAUAUGUUUUUUUC
rnacentral:lncRNA from 1 species